UACGUAGGGCGCAAGCGUUGUCCGGAAUUAUUGGGCGUAAAGAGCUCGUAGGCGGCCAGUUGCGUCUGCUGUGAAAUCCCGGGGCUCAACCCCGGGCGUGCAGUGGAUACGGGCUGGCUAGAGGCAGGCAGGGGAGAACGGAAUUCCCGGUGUAGCGGUGAAAUGCGCAGAUAUCGGGAGGAAGACCGGUGGCGAAGGCGGUUCUCUGGGCCUGUACUGACGCUGAGGAGCGAAAGCGUGGGGAGCGAACAGG
rnacentral:rRNA from 1 species